AACGAACGCUGGCGGCAGGCCUAACACAUGCAAGUCGAGCGGACCUUUCGGGGUCAGCGGCGGACGGGUGAGUAACGCGUGGGAAUAUGCCCUUCUCUACGGAAUAGUCCUGGGAAACUGGGGGUAAUACCGUAUACGCCCUUUGGGGGAAAGAUUUAUCGGGGAAGGAUUAGCCCGCGUUGGAUUAGGUAGUUGGUGGGGUAAUGGCCUACCAAGCCGACGAUCCAUAGCUGGUUUGAGAGGAUGAUCAGCCACACUGGGACUGAGACACGGCCCAGACCCCUACGGGGGGCGGCAGGGGGAAAUCUUAAACAAGGGGGGCAACCUUGAUCUGCCCUGGCCGGGUGAGUGAAAAGGCCUUUGGGGUUGAAAAGCUCUUUCAGUGGGAAAGAAAAGGAGGGUCCCAGCAGAAGAACCCCCGCAUACCUCCGU
rnacentral:rRNA from 1 species